rnacentral:rRNA from 1 species
GACGAACGCUGGCGGCGUGCUUAACACGUGCAAGUCGAACGGAAAGGCCCUGCUUUUGUGGGGUGCUCGAGUGGCGAACGGGUGAGUAACACGUGAGUAACCUGCCCUUGACUUUGGGAUAACUUCAGGAAACUGGGGCUAAUACCGGAUAGGAGCCCCUGCUGCAUGGUGGGGGUUGGAAAGUUUCGGCGGUUGGGGAUGGACUCGCGGCUUAUCAGCUUGUUGGUGGGGUAGUGGCUUACCAAGGCUUUGACGGGUAGCCGGCCUGAGAGGGUGACCGGCCACAUUGGGACUGAGAUACGGCCCAGACUCCUACGGGAGGCAGCAGUGGGGAAUAUUGCACAAUGGGCGGAAGCCUGAUGCAGCAACGCCGCGUGCGGGAUGACGGCCUUCGGGUUGUAAACCGCUUUCGCCUGUGACGAAGCGUGAGUGACGGUAAUGGGUAAAGAAGCACCGGCUAACUACGUG